GCCUGUGGCAGUCGAGGUUGAGUUUAGGGAGUGUUGAAAUUUUUCGAUCUAGAUUGCAGAUCACUAUUGUCACUUUAUACAAACUGGAAGCAUGCGUUGUUGCGUCUUUGUUUUUGUGGGCAUUUGACUGAGCAGCCCAGACCAAUAUUGCUACCAGCAUGGCACUUCGAAACAGACCACCGCAGUGAAUGACUGACUGACAAGAUCUAUGGGGGGGCCCCCUUUGGGCCCCCCCAUACCAACUUAGUCUUCAACUGACAAGAUCUAUGGGGGGGCCCCCUUUGGGCCCCCCCAUAUCAACUUAGUCUUCAAAGGAAUCUAGUGCCAUGGGACUCCAGUGUCUUCAAAACAUCCUCGGAAUACAUGUGUAUGAAUGGUCCACCGAAGGGUUGAUCUGGAAGCCACCACGGUCCACGCAGUAAUCUGCUGCGUGGGCCGUAGUGGCUUCCAGAGCCAUCUUUCGGUCUUGGUCAGGAUUUGUUACAGUUGCCCUUCAAUGUAGCAGGCUACGGGUUUCUGAAGAAGCCUGCUUUACGUAGCAUUGGAGUACAAAUAUUGUGCAAAAUGCUCAUGUAAUUGCACUAGCACUAGUAACCUGUAGAUUAGCUUAGUUUAACGUCAUUCCGUGCUGUCUCUGUCAAAUGUGUGGCUUACUUUAAGUCCACAAGGCCCUCUGGUAAACCAUGUUGGAACACCCCUGGACAAGGUGAUUAGUCACUUGGUGUGUGCUAAAGUUUUCUUCCAUUUUUUCACUAGUUGGUUAAGGUUUGGUAGAAUUGUUUGGAUGCUAGCGACGUGAUGGCGUAUGUACAAGAGCCUACCGUGGCCAGGCCACAGUUGCGACGGUCACGGCCAGAUGGCCUAGUGUGAGUGCAACCUUGAUUGCAUUUGUAUACUGUUUACCAUUGGAUGUUUAUGCAAUUUGGCUUAAUUCAUCCGCAGUAAAGCUGCAUUUGACUAUUCCAGGGUUGUUUUGUACAGUCUUUCAAUUUACCAUGUUGACUAGUUUGUGGGAAGUUAUUUUUUUUUUUAUUCUUGCUUACAAUCCAACGGUUGUGACCACUUAUGCAACUGGGCUGUGAACCUUGCAAUUCUAGUUGCAUAUUUAUACACGCAAGCUUGUCCAUUUCUAUCGCCAUCACUAACACUAGCUUCAGCAUUUCCUUGUAGGCCAUUAGCUGACUUGUGUAUUGGAGGGAUGAUUUGGGUAUUUUAAGAUGCUUAAACCUAAAAUAAAGCAAAAUGCGUGUCUGGUGUGCAAGAGCCAAUUUGUUGGCUUGCAGUAGUUGAGGAGUUGCCGUAGGUCGUAAGCCAUCUGGAGGUUGUGGCAAUGGAGGCUUGUGGUAGAUCUGCCAUCCAAGAAAGGUUAAUUCUUCUGAAGCAUGAUUAAUAGUUUAGUAAAUUGAAUCUAUUCAUAUAGAACUAUAAAAUCCAAGACUGCAGCCAGUAACUUGGAUCGCAAUAUGUGGAAAGUAUUAGUCUUCAUUUGUAACAGAAUAAUUAACAUGACUAACUGGGUUUCUUCCAUUUUCUAACUAGGGGGAGUUGACUGGUGAGUCUACUGGAUUAAUCAGUAGCGGUACUUUGCCCAACAGAUUUGAUGGCAUGACUACAGGUUGGUGGUUCAACACUGAUGUCUCUCUAGGCUUGAGGGAGAGCUCACAAGUAAAUUACACAAAUGUCCUGGAGGAAUUGGGAAUACACUUUUAUUUAGUCUACCUGACCAGGGACAUCUUUGAACUAUAGGUCACCUAACCCAAACUUUUCACUCUUGUUAGGUUGUCCUUUUCUCUUGUUUUAACCCGAAAGGGCUGAAAUAUCAACAUUUCAGGUAUUCUGUUUGGAUAAUGUGCAAAACUUGUAGCUUCUCUAAUAAAAAAAAUUAACGAAUAUUUUUCUUAAUGUGGUUAAACUAUUUAAAGAUUUGUAUGCAAAAUAUUUCUGCUCAAUGAAACUGACAUUUUUAAUUUGAUAAAACACAACUAUGGGUUAAUGGUAUUUGCUUUGGGCAUCUUUUGAUAUUUUUAGAAUCUAGCUCCAUUGCCGUUAGAAAUGGUGUCUCCCAGUACUGCAAAGUGCUUCCACAAGUUUAAAAAAUGGGCAGAAAAGGAACUGCCAACUAAAUCUAUUUAACAUGGGUAGAAAGUUUCCAUGGAAGCUCUUGGCUGCUGGUUCCCAACACAGCUCCACUGUUAGCCUGUGACCUUGUGUUGAACUUUUUUCGACUUUUGGUGACUUUCACAAAAGAGAAAUGAACAAUGUUAAUACAAGACCCCCUUUGAUAAAAGGGGUUCUCAAAUGUUGACCCUCAGUCACCUAUUGCAGCACUUCCUUUAGGGCUUCGGCCUCCUAAUUGAUCAUUAUAGUAUAAUUG
ensembl:lncRNA